rnacentral:rRNA from 1 species
CCUACGGGGGGCAGCAGUGGGGAAUAUUGCACAAUGGGGGAAACCCUGAUGCAGCGACGCCGCGUGAGUGAAGAAGUAUUUCGGUACGUAAAGCUCUAUCAGCAGGGAAGAAAAUGACGGUACCUGACUAAGAAGCCCCGGCUAACUACGGGCCAGCAGCCGCGGUAAUACGUAGGGGGCAACCGUUCUCCGGAUUUACUGGGUGUAAAGGGAGCGUAGAUGGCAGCGCAAGUCUGAAGUGAAAUCCCAGGGCUUAACCAUGGAACUGCUUUGGAACCUUUGCAGCUGGAGUUCAGGAGUGGUAAGCGUAAUUCCUAGGGUAGCGGUGACAGGCGUAGAUAGUAGGAGGAACACCAGUGGCGAAGGCGGCUUACUGGACUGUAACUGACGUUGAGGCUCGAAAGCGUGGGGAGCAAACAGGAUUAGAGACCCUUGUAGUC